rnacentral:rRNA from 1 species
CGGAGGGUGCAAGCGUUAUCCGGAUUCACUGGGUUUAAAGGGUGCGUAGGUGGGCAGGUAAGUCAGUGGUGAAAUCCUGUAGCUUAACUACAGAACUGCCAUUGAUACUAUCUGUCUUGAAUACCCUGGAGGUGAGCGGAAUAUGUCAUGUAGCGGUGAAAUGCUUAGAUAUGACAUAGAACACCCAUUGCGAAGGCAGCUCACUACGGGAAUAUUGACGCUGAGGCACGAAAGCGUGGGGAUCAAACAGGAUUAGAUACCCUGGUAGUCCACGCCCUAAACGAUGAUCACUCGACAUCAGCGAUAAACUGUUGGUGUCUGAGCGAAAGCAUUAAGUGAUCCACCUGGGAAGUACGAUCGCAAGAUUG